GGUUAUAGCUCAGUGGUAGAGGGCUUGCCUAGCAUGUGUGAAGCACUGGGUUCAAUCCUCAGCACCA
rnacentral:tRNA from 1 species